AACGAACGCUGGCGGCAUGCCUAACACAUGCAAGUCGAACGAGACCUUCGGGUCUAGUGGCGCACGGGUGCGUAACACGUGGGAAUCUGCCCUUUGCUUCGGAAUAACAGUUAGAAAUGACUGCUAAUACCGGAUGAUGUCGAAAGACCAAAGAUUUAUCGGCAAAGGAUGAGCCCGCGUAGGAUUAGGUAGUUGGUGGGGUAAAGGCCUACCAAGCCGACGAUCCUUAGCUGGUCUGAGAGGAUGAUCAGCCACACUGGGACUGAGACACGGCCCAGACUCCUACGGGAGGCAGCAGUGGGGAAUAUUGGACAAUGGGCGAAAGCCUGAUCCAGCAAUGCCGCGUGAGUGAUGAAGGCCUUAGGGUUGUAAAGCUCUUUUACCAGGGAUGAUAAUGACAGUACCUGGAGAAUAAGCUCCGGCUAACUCCGUGCCAGCCGCCGCAGUAA
rnacentral:rRNA from 1 species